AAGUUUAUUGCAGCGUACAUUUUAAAAGCCCCCUGCAAUAGCUCGUUUUUGUUGCAGCGUACAUUUUAAAGCCCCCUGCAAUAACCCGGGUAAAAACAAAUUUUGCUGCAAUAUUCGUUGAAUAACUAAUUCAAAACAAAUUAAGCAUCUCUCGCGCUCAACUCCCUUCUUCUCCCUUAACUUUCCCUGCGAAGUCCCCUCAAAAAAAAAACCUUUCCCUUCAUCGUCAAUCUAGCUUCUUCGUCGGUGGUUCUGGCCUCCUCGCUAGUCGCCACCUAUUAGCUUGCUCGGCCGGUGGUUCCAAGGAAAAACUUAGCUUGCUCGCGCCGGUGGUUUCAAGAAAGAAAGUUGCUCGCGUCCUAUUUUCCGUCAACCUCUUCGCCGCGGCUAGUAAUCUUCCCUGUCCCCUCUUUUAAGUUUGCUCAAUUCGUUUAUCUGAUUUUCGUUUUAAGAAUUAGGGUUUGUUCAAUUCGCUUUUAGGGUUUUGUGCGUUUUUUCAAUUCUUUUUUAGGGUUUGUUCAAUUCGUUUUUAGGGUUCAAUUCGUUUGUUCAAUUUGUUUUUAGGGUUUUUUCAAUUCGUUGUUCAAUUUGUUUUUAGGGUUUGUUCAUUGGCCCAAAUUGUGUUAUUUAUUGGACAUGUUUAAUAUUGUGUUAUUUCUCUAAUUUGUCGGACUGUUAUUGUUGAUUCUUAACCAUCUUUUACAGUUUGAAGAUGAAUGAGAUGCUAAAGAUGUUGUGCACGGUCGAAAUGGUUAUGAUUUUGAUGGACAUCCUUUGCGGGUGGAAUUCGCUCAUGGUGGACGAGAAUCAUCAUCAUCAGACCAUCGCAGCAGUUACAGUGCUAGUAGUUAUAGAGAUGGAGCACCUAAGCACAGAGGCUGAAAGUUGAAAAUCAAACUAAGGAUGAUCAACCUGCAAAAAGAAACAACACAUCUGCCGAUUCUUCAAGAUUUUUAGAUUUUGGACCUUCAGUAAUGGAUGAUGAAUUCGGGAGUAGUAUACAUGAUACUAUCCCUGAGAAUCUGAGAUAACACCAGGACAUUCCAGCAAUCCAGUACAUGAUUUGAUUUCUGCAAGCAAAGCUGACGAGGACAACAAGAUCAAGGCUUUAGUUGAAAAUUCUGGUUUAGACUGGCAGAAUUCGCAUACUUAUGGUUUUGGCCAAGGGAGAGGUUUAGGAAGAGGUGGACAGGGUGGCCGGGGAUUUGGCCCUAGGGUAUCCUAUGCCUAACUUUGCACACGUCUCUUUGAUUCUUGCACCUGAUCGAAGCAAGCUGUCAAAGCGUCAUGGUGCAACUUCAGUGGGUCAGGUUUGUGGUGAAUAAAAUAGUUUUAUAAUGCUAGCAUAUUGUCUGGAUUGAUACAGUCAUUAAAAUCCCAUUCUUGCAUGUAUCAAACGAGAGAUGGGAUAUCUGCCACAGGCAAUGGUAAACUACUUAUCACUAUUGGGCUGGGGGGAUGGUACAGAUAAUGAAUUUUUCACUAUUGAACAACUUGUUGAAAAGUUCACUAUAGAACGUGCAAAUAAGAGUGGGGCUAUAUUUGAUUCUACUAAAUUUAGGUUGACAAUCUAAAAGGGGAGAUGGGAACAACACAGACAUGUGGCACUAGCUGGGCAGUAUUUGCAGUUCUGUUGAUGAUCAUUAGCUCAAAGUUGGAUGUUUCUGAAGGAGAACUCUUACCAUACGAUGAUGAAACAUGUAAAUUCUGCAGGUCUAUACUCCGAGGACUGCGCCUUAUGCUAGUGAGGAAAUUGAUGUGGUUCGUGAGCAAUGGGCGAAGUUUUUUACCACCAAGUAUUUAUUAUUGACCUGAUGGCGCUUGAUCGUGUUGGUUUAGAUGUUAUAGAACAAUCUUUUAUGUUAAAAUGUAUGCGUACGUUGAAAUUGGAACGUAAAUGUAUUUAAAUGUAUCGGUAUGUGCACUUUUGGUUUUGGGAUAUAUACAAAACUCCAGUUGUUGUUUUUAUAU